UAUUUUCAUAAUUUAUAGAGAAUAACACAUUGAAGAUGUGUAAGAAGUUAAUUAAACUUGAAAAUAU
rnacentral:tRNA from 1 species